CUCAUUUAAUGUUUGGUUUCGACAAGAAUAAUAAAGACAGUUACAUCACAUACCAAGUAAAUGAAAUCCUUAAUUUUCUUUGUGGUGUCCAUAGAGGCACAGGUACAGCUAACGUACAGUCUCUGUCCAUAGAGGCACAGGUACAGCUAACGUACAGUCUCUGUCCAUAGAGGCACAGGUACAGCUAACGUACAGUCUCUGUCCAUAGAGGCACAGGUACAGCUAACGUACAGUUUCUGUCCAUACAGGCACAGGUACAGCUAACGUACAGUCUCUGUCCAUACAGGCACAGACCCACCUAACGCACAGUUUUCGUCCAUAUAAAAACAGAUGAGCUCUGUCUAUACAGAUGUAGAGCCAUUCAGAAAGUCUGCUCUGCCCAUACAAGCAUAAA